UACGUAGGGGGCAAGCGUUGUCCGGAUUUAUUGGGCGUAAAGAGCGUGUAGGCGGCUUUACAGGUCCGUUGUGAAAACUCGAGGCUCAACCUCGAGACGCCGGUGGAAACCGUAAAGCUAGAGUCCGGAAGAGGAGAGUGGAAUUCCUGGUGUAGCGGUGAAAUGCGCAGAUAUCAGGAAGAACACCCGUGGCGAAAGCGGCUCUCUGGAACGGUACUGACGCUGAGGCGCGAAAGCGUGGGGAGCGAACAGG
rnacentral:rRNA from 1 species